rnacentral:rRNA from 1 species
AUUGAACGCUGGCGGCAUGCUUUACACAUGCAAGUCGAACGGAAACAGGCCGCAAGGUGCUGACGAGUGGCGAACGGGUGAGUAAUGCAUCGGAACGUGCCCAGUCGUGGGGGAUAACUACUCGAAAGAGUAGCUAAUACCGCAUACGAUCUAUGGAUGAAAGCGGGGGACCGUAAGGCCUCGCGCGAUUGGAGCGGCCGAUGUCAGAUUAGGUAGUUGGUGGGGUAAAGGCUCACCAAGCCAACGAUCUGUAGCUGGUCUGAGAGGACAACCAGCCACACUGGGACUGAGACACGGCCCAGACUCCUACGGGAGGCAGCAGUGGGGAAUUUUGGACAAUGGGCGCAAGCCUGAUCCAGCAAUGCCGCGUGCAGGAAGAAGGCCUUCGGGUUGUAAACUGCUUUUGUACGGAACGAAACGGCUCUGGUUAAUACCCGGGGCUAAUGACGGUACCGUAAGAAUAAGCACCGGCUAACUACGUG